rnacentral:lncRNA from 1 species
GUUCCCACCCACAUCAGUUGUAUCUCUUCUCACUUGAGUCCCAGGAGACCCCAGAGAAGUCACCUAUGAAAGAGCACACCACUCUUUCAUCUUAUACAACUGUGUCUCUGCCUGGCCCACAACAGUAUUUAAUGAAGAUUCUGGAAUUUAGUGAAUGAAUCACUUCAUUCCCGGCACCAUCUUGCUGUUGGCCCUAGUUUAUUCUCUCACUGGGGAACUUGAGCUGCUGUAGGUUUCUUGGGCAGGCUUUGAGGCUCAAGUCCAGGAUCCAAGAAGCUUGACAGCAAGAGUGAACAAUUCCCAGAUGAGUGAUCCACAGCAGCAAGUGGCAAGGUCCAGACAGUUAGCAUGAGUCCUCGAUCUGCAGAGAUUCUGAGUGUUGAAGAUCUGCCAAGGCAGCUCUAGAUGGUUGUGAGUGAGCAGUGGGAAGAAGCCCAGGUUGUCUGCACUGGGUGUGAAUGGAAGGAUUUGGAGCUUUGGGCUGGAAGAUUUUAUUCGGAGAACCCUGGACAAAAUCGCAGGAGCUAAGGAAUGGGAGUUCCCAGAAUGGCUUCAACCUGUCCACUGUAAUAUUCCCAAUAUACACCAGAAACUGGAAGCAGCCUAUAUGCCUCUCAACUGAAGAAUGGAUACAGAAAAUGUGGUACAUUUACACAAUGGAGUACUACUCAGCAGAAAAAAAAAAAC